rnacentral:lncRNA from 1 species
CCCACGGCGCCCCCUGCACAACAGAAUGUCUACCAUCCGCAAGUGGUUCAAAGGGGCGCCCUUUGGGGUGCAGAGCCACAGGUUUGAUGUCUCUGCUGUCCAUCCCAACCAGAAGAAAUUCAGCACCUUCACUGAGGCCCCAUACUCCAGGCAUCAUUCCGUGGAACUGGACCUGGAACCUAUAACUCGAAGGAGACCUGCUUCAGCAAGAAGUUCCUGGAACAGAAGUUGGGCGCAGGAUGGGCCCGGGCCCAAGAAGCCAGCCGGCUGACCCAACUUCCCCACUUCCAUUUCCAGGCCAUCAAGAAGGAAAGAGAGCAGCAGGCGAACAAACGGGGGCCUGGCUCCUACAACAUCAAAGACUUCUUGACUGAGCUGCAGAAGAAACCACAGAGCAAACGGGGUCUGCUCAGCUCUGGGGAGACUCGCUUCCGAGGACUCAUCGGGAAUUAUUAUCCCGGCCCUGGAAAUUAUGGGGAGAAGGGGAACCCCUACACACAGCUGGAGAAGAAUUCCUGGAACCGCUCACACUCCGACGGCCUUAUGUGUAGAUUGUCCAGCAAGCCACCACCCUUGUCUCAUCAGGGCAGUGGCCUGGGACCUGGAACCUAUACCAUCAAAAGCGAUAUUGAGACCUUUGUGGAAAAGUCCACCGGUACUCGUGGCCCCUACGACAUUUUCUCUGGCGAGAGGAGCAGUCCUGUGCCCUAUGGGCAUUAUUCAG